rnacentral:misc_RNA from 1 species
UUUCCGUAGGUGAACCUGCGGAAGGAUCAUUACCAAAACGUUGGCGAGUGGGAGGCGCGAGUCUCUUGCUCGACAUACACCUUUGUGAAUAGGGGAGUGUUUAGCUAGGUGCUAGGCCAGUUUAAUUCAACUUGAACUGAACUGUUCUAACUAACUUAACCUAAACACUGCUUAGAAGGGUCUGAGGGAGCAGCCGAGUAGUAGUCUAGUCGAGAUUAGUCGAGACGGGACGAUGCUUGGCGCACAAUUAUUAUUGUAGUCUAAUUUGUUGUUGUCCGAGAGGACACUCAAUCUUUACAACUUUUAACAAUGGAUCUCUAGGCUCUU